GUAGUUUAAGAUAGUGGAUUCUCCUUUUACAGGCAAGUUCCAUUAGCAGUGUUGCUGUUGGUACUCUUUCAGCACUAGGCAGACCUUUCUACCUUCACGUCAAUUGGCUAUGGUUCUCCGGGGUUUUUGGCUACCUGAUUGCAAAGGUAUUAUUGCUGCUUCUUUCAUUGUGUCACCUCACAAAUUUGUAAUGGUAGGAGAGGCAUUGAACUGGAUCCUUAGAAGGAAUAUUGUAUUCUUAUGAUGGGGAAAGGGGCACUCAGCCCCAUCCCAAUGAAAGAUCCCCUUAAGUGAUCUUGGAGGGCACUGCUCUCCUGGAGCCUCUCCAUUCAGAAGCCCAACUUGGGGGGCUUAUGGGCUCUAGUUCCCCCUACCAGGUUGCCUGCAAGAGUUCACCCAAAAUUGUAUAUUGACCAGCACUUGGGCUGCUCAGCCAUCAGAUCUAAUCACCAGGCCUAUGUCAAAACCAUUCUCUGUAAUCAAUAAUUAAUGCCAUGCCCUUAUUUUACCCCAGAUAUAUCUCAUGGCUGUUCUAUUCCUCUCCCUGAUUCACUGCAUAUCUGCCCACAAAUUGUGAUAAUCCUGGGCUCAGUUUGCUUUUAGACGUCUUCCACUUUGGGUAGAUGUUUCUACUAAUCACGUUUUCAUUUAUUAUCCUGAGAUUUUCUCUUUUUACAAUAACAGAGAGUAUAUUUUAUUGCUACAGACAGGCCAUAUUUUUCAAUGCUUGUUACUGCAAAUUUUACAAACCAUUCUUUCAGUUCACUUAAUCUAUUGGCUUUACGUUAGGAAAUGCUAGACCCUUCUUCUCCCUUUGCUGAAAAAGAGUUUUUACUGUAACUGUUUGUUUCCUAGCUUCCCAUAGAAAGAUUUAAGGUUUUGUCAUAUUUUGAGUAAGGUUUUGGUGAUCUUUAAUGGAAUAUUUAACAAUAAAAAUAAAACUCAUGGCAUUAUGUUUAUUUUGAUAACUCAACUUCUUGCCAUCUAGUGGAGCUUUCAAUUAUUCUGAUUUACCACAAUCAUUUAUUUCCUGCAUUAGUUUGUCAUGGUUGAAAGCAAUCAUAUUAUCCAAAUCAUAAGUUAUCCAGCAUCCCAGAUAUCUGAUAGGUCUUUCUUUCCAUGGAAUUGAAUUUUUUUUUAGCUAACUCAUUUUUCACUUCUCCCUUUGUAUUACAACCAAACCAAAUCAGAUUUAAUUAGGUUUAUCUUAAGGCCUAAGACCUUAAAAAAGCUCCAGUACUUUCUUAAGUGGGUGGGUAGAGAGUUUGGGCUUUUAAUAAUUUGAGACUGUGUAAUUAUAUGGGCAAAGUAUUACAGAUUAGCAGAAGAGAACCUUCUAAAAUAUAUCUAAAAGAAGGAACAGACUGUCAGUUUUGAACCUGUGAAAAAAAUAAUGAUUUUUAAAUGUGUUAUAAUAUUGUUGCUGCAGUCCAAAGUGAUUGACAACAACAAGAGGUUUUCAUUCUGUAAAAAGAAUGAAUAAGUGAUUUGCUGUCCUUAGGUGGCAGCCACAUUCCCACAAAGGACUCAGGAAUUUUCUAUAAGUGUUAUGAACGAGAGAACCUGUUUUCUUCUAACAGGGGAGUUGCCUACAGAUUGACAAACCCCCCAAAAUGACAUUUUUCCUUAUUAAUUGUUUAUAUUUGAGAUCUGACCAUUUCAAGUAAUGCCUUAUUCAUUUGUAACACCUCACCCUUUUAAGUUUUCUAACCUGUUUUCCCCUGCAGAUAGAAUUUUGCACCUGGAAUUACAGAUGGAUGUUAAAAACACUGUGUGGGUAGAACUCAGAUGAGCCAUAUUCAUAAACUGUUUUCUUUCAGCCAGUUGCAAAUAUACUCUCAAUGCAAAUAUUAUUAUUUUUUAGGGGGAGGGAGGGCAGCAGGCAGCAAAAAAUAAAAUAAAAAUGUAAUUCUUCAUUCCUGUCACACUUGUAAGAUACUUAUAUCAGCUAUGAAGUUAAAUUUGCUUAAAGAUGUGGAUGAAAUUUAGAUUGAAAGUGCCUAAUAUGCAAACUUAGUUUCAGUUUUGUUUAGCAGUUUCCAUAAUACUACGUCUCUAGUUUUGCGACUGCAUAGAUUUGAUGCUUUUUAAAAAAAAUAAAAAAUGGCUCAUCUCAUUUAAUGCCCCUUCUGUGUACAACCCCUUGGAAAAGAUUCUCGUUGUUAGAAAGUGGUGCAGUGCCAAUGGAAUGUUAAUUGGAGGGACGUGAAUAGCAAAGUCCACCUCCUUAUAACCUUCUGCCACAACCCCUCCUUAAUUAGCAGAUUGAAUUUAUUUAGCCUUUGAAUGGUUCCCCAUCCCCAAUGGAGACUAGCAUUGUCAUUGUGACCUUCAUUGGGAAUUGCGGCAGCUUGUUUAGGAAUUGGUACAAAGCAUUUUUUUAAAAAAAGUAUAUAUAUUUUAAACUUGACUCAUUGAAGGAACUCAGAGCAAACAGGAAAAAAUAAGACACAGAAAUAUCUUUAUCACCAACUCCAGUUUCUUGUGCUGAUAAAGGAUCCAUUGUGCCAGCCCCUCCUCCAUGCUGGGGGAAUUGUGGUUGUUGUAUCAGCCAUCCCUCCUGUUUACGGCUGCUGUUGUCGAAUGCCAGGUUGGCUUGGAGUAAGAUCCCCACCCCCACCCAAUCCAUGAUCUGAUUGUGGAUGAGGGGACAGAUCUGGUCUGUUUCACUGGGACUUGGGUGGGUGAGCAGGGUGGAAUUGGUCUCUCCCUGCUGUGCCCACCUAGAUACUUGGCACAGCAUCAGGGCUCUCUGUCCGGUUGGAGUGGAGGAUCUAGUGUGUGUGUUCCUGGCUUUGGGCAAUUGGGACAGCGGUCUCCCUGCCUGAGCUGACAGAGCUGGUCCCGGAGGCAGUGUUGAGGACUCCCAGACUGCUGGUCUGGAGGACAUUUCUGUCAGUGGCAUAAUUGAGGAAGAGUUUUAUAUUGGGAAAUGUACUGACUCUGAAAAAUACUGAAUGAUUUAAUGCAUUGUGUUUUUCAGUCUCUACCUUCUUUCUGUUUGUAAACAUUCCUUAUACAGGAAACUGUCAACUGGGAUUACCUCAGCUACAAUAGUCAAAAUACAGUGAUUUGAAUGUGUUAUAAACAUGCAACACCAGAUGGGACCAGAGAGCACAAAACCUUUCCAUAGCAUUUUUACAUAGGUUUUUGUUGUUGUUGUUGUUAUAACAAUGUAAUUUCUGAUUUAUUUAUUGUCCCCCACAUGUGUAGAUCCACCCCCACCCACUAUUGGAUGCAUUUAGGACAUCCAUCUAGAUCUAUGUUUCUAUCCCAAAUGCAUCCAAGAGGUGUUUUUUUUAAAUGCAACUGAUAAAAGUUAAAAAGAAGAGGGUUCAUCCCAUUCAUUUCUCAUUCAUUCUGAGGUAGGUGACAUUUGGGAAGCAAAUUUCUAGUAUGGUACAGAUGUCAUAUAGGUUCUGCAGACACCAGCCUGGAGCCACGUCUUGUCAGUGUUAUAAACAUGAGUGGUUUGUACAUACCGAUGGCCCUGCCAGGAUGAGACAGAAUGGGAAUCUGAUGAACUUUCCCCUUAACAAGGAGAAUGUUUAGAUUUUGAAACCUUAUGUGGGGCUGUUUCUUCAGAGGCGUUAGUGCGUCCUUGGAUUGGCUGCAGGAAAGUUUGGCAGGAAUUGCAGACUUCCGUCUCCCAGGCUGCCGAGAGACUAGUUAUCCAGGCCGUGUUCCUCUGAAGAUGAUAUGUUCUCAGUUAAGCAAAAGCAUUCUCAGCAUGCGGCAUGACACCAGAGAGGGGGGAGAGUUAGGGAGCUGGUGUCAGAUUCAGAACCUACUCAGGCCAGUUCAUGAGGCUCAGAGCCAAUGUUCCCCCCCUCUCUUCCUGUUGCUUUGAAAUGUUUCGAGUGUUUACAAAUUCUAUACUUUAAAGUAAUUUUUAGGGUUUAGAAUACAAUCAAAGAAGAAACACUCUUUAAAAAUCCAAGUUUGAAAAAUUCUGUGUUUCUGUAUUUGUGUCUUUAUAAUAUUUUGUGUCCCACUUUGUGGUAAAAAGGACCUUAAGGUGUAUUAUGAACAGGUUUAACAGGUUGUUAUUGUGUUAUAGAUGUAGCCGUAUCAAUUGAUUUCAUUAAAACAUUCAGAUUAUUGGAGGAUAUAGUAUAUAUACUAUAUAGUGCUUGGUAGAUUGAAGGCUGUUUGUAUCAGUUUGCUUUAAUUAAUUGUGAUGGAAAAGCAUGAGAAACAUUUGAAUCCUAUGGCCCAGAUACAAGAGGCAGAACUACAAGUAAUCAACCAGCUUUCCCACCUGCUUCCAACCAAAGAGACAUUAUUAUUCUGCUGUUGGGAUUCUUAAGUAUCUGUAGUCUGAGAUCUUUCUGAUUGUGUCCAUGUUGUACAAAAUGCUGAACAACCGAGUCUUCUAUCCCAUGGUUGCUUAUGCUGCUUUUGUGUUCACACAUGCGAGUCUGGUACCUGCUGGAUUGUUCAUAUCGUUAUAUCAGUGAAGCUCUCCAGCUUUAGUCACAAACUGAUCAGAGUUGUGAUUCAUAUGCCCUUAAAAAUUUUGGAUUAAGAAUUAUCCUGGUAUUCAUUUAUAAUUAUUAGCUACCUGGGGUUUGUUGAGGGCUUGCCUUAGAUUAGGUGAAUUCUUGCUGCAAAAGGCAAGUAUUUGACUCAGCCCAAAAUGUUCCAGAUAUGCAAUAUAAGGCAUACAUUUCUGUCAAGUUCUAGUGAUGCUGAGCCACAUAUGGGAUUUUGAUAUUCAGUCCUGGUCAAAUAGAUUGUAUUGCCAGGAACUGCUAUUGAUUUUGUAUGAGUUGGUUUUUCUUUUUGCACUGGAGGGAUUGAGAAUCCAAUGCUGUACUAUUUGCUAAAGUGAUCUUGACAUUUCUCUACUCCUAUGGGAUUUUUACCCAACAGAAUAGUUUUAAAUAAAAUGCUGCUACAGGUUGAGACAAGUGAUGUGAGAUACAUAUAUAUAUAUGAAGAUAAAUACAGUAAAUGAACUAAAGUAAAGUACAAAGAUUCACAAAAUGUUUAGGGGUAUGCGUACCCCUGCGUCCCACCAGAAAAAAAGCACUGUGUGUGUGGAGCGAGAGAGCAGAACCAGGUUUCCUUUUUACCACUACAGCUGUAUUCAUACUGCAGGGUAUUCAAUUUCCCUAGUGUUUUCCCUGUUCAUUUCUACAUUGUAUUUGAACUUUCUCAUGAUGUAAAUGCCACUUAUGGAAAACUAAUGGAAUAUAGUGCAUGCUUGGCGCUAAAUUCUGCAUUACUUGAUUCCCCCACCAAAUCUGUUUGCGUUCCCCUUAAUCUGGAAAAUUACAGGUGUAAAAUGAAAAAAUUGGGGGCAUUAUACUGGCAUACUGCUGCUUUCAUGGGUGAAUUAUGGGCGAACAGAAGUGUGCUUGUAUGGAAAGGAUGCGGGAGUAAUAAUUUAUUUGUAUCCCGCCCUCCCCAGCUAAAGCUGGGGCCAGAGUGGCUAACAACGGAUAAAAAUAGUACAGUGUACAUAAAAUCACGUUGUUGUGUUGCACCAUGCUCAUUGGUGUGGAUGAAAUUUAGUUCAACGUGCUGCUAUAUUGGUCAGAAAGCCACAGUUCCAUAAUACAACGGGUACUGCAGUGUUAAAGGAACAUUAGAAAAAGGUUCAGUUCUUCUUCCCUUUACUCAGGGGUCAGCGAACUAUGACCCAGGGUCUGGAUGUGGCCCACCGGGCUCAUAAAUCUGGCCUGUGGACCCUGCGGACCCUGCCGCCCGCUCAGUAAGUCCCCUUUCUAAACCGGCACAGCGGCUGACUUCCGUGACGCUGGCACGGCUUUGGAUUGGCUGCAGGAAGCCAAUACUCCACCAUGUCAUAAAUCUUUAAGGCUAGAAUGCCCCAAGAGCUGUGAGGGACCUGGUGCUAGAUGCUUGGAAAGUGGUACUUAGUUUAUUUUUAUGCUCAUAUUCCACUCAGAAUCUGAACUGGGGAAGAUAUCAGGAGUGGUAAUUCUCAUCCUGAAGGUGAGCUUGAAUACAAGCUUACAAAGUUUUAUUUCCAGGCCAAGAAGUUUGAGUUCCACAAGCAUCUUUAAAUGAAAGGAAUGAUCCUUCCAUAACAGCGACCAAAUUUUAUGUUUAAAGAAUAUGUAUAUUUGUUGAAUGCAUUAUGAAUGUACAUAACCUUGUUAAAAUUACAUAUCUUGAAAACAGACCUAGAGCUAUCUACUGCCUGCCUUAGAUUGCAGUUGAAACAGCAGAAAAUGCCUUUGCACAUUUUUAUGUAAUUUAAAUAAGUUAUAAAAAUGAAACAUAGCUCACUGUAAACAAUAGCUAAGUUGGGAGCUGAGUUUCAUAAGCAAAAUGUUCUUUUAUCAUUAAGAACAUGGAUUUUCACAGGCAAAGAUAGAAGAGUCUGGUUCAGAUAACAUUUUUCUACAUUAUUUGGAGAUUUAUAAAUGCAGCAAAUUAUAGUCGGCAAUAUACAGUAGGUAAUGAGUCGUAUGGUGCCUCUGAUAGAUAGAUGAUAUAUGAGAGAGAGAGAGAGAAAGAGUUCUAUGAUAAGGUGGGCACAGGAUAUUGGGUAUAAUAUUAUGUUUGAGGACUGGGAAAGGCUGUGGAGUAAUGGACUGAAAUUUACUGCAUGUAAUGCUUUGAAAGAAAAUGUAAUGAAAAUGAUUUAUAGAUGGUAUAUGACCCCAGUCAAACUCGCAAAAAUUUACCACCUGUCUGAUAACAAGUGCUGGAAAUGUAAAGAGUGUGAAGGAACGUUCUUUCACCUCUGGUGGACCUGCCCUAAAGUGAAGGCGUUCUGGGAAAUGAUUUAUAAUGAACUGAAAAAGGUAUUUAAAUAUACUUUCACUAAGAAACCAGAGGCUUUCCUUUUGGGUAUUGUCAGCCAAGGGGUGGCAAAGAAGGACCAAACAUUUUUAUGUAUGCAACAACAGCAGCAAGGAUACUACUCGCAAAACAUUGGAAAACUCAAGAUCUACCCACACUGGAAGAAUGGCAGAUGCAACUGAUAGACUAUAUGCAACUGGCUGAAAUGACUGGCAGAAUCCGUGACCUGGGAGAAGAGAGAAUCGAGGAGGAUUGGAAGAAAUUUAAGAACUACCUGCAAAAACAUUGUGAUUUGAUUGAAUGCUGAAUAAGAUGCUUGACUAAAUAACUGAGCACCACUUAACUUAGAAGUUUUUAAGAAAAUAAGAAAAAUUGUGAAAGUUUAACUCUUUAUGAGAACUAUAAGAUCAUGAAAUAUCGAAGAGAUAUAAGAAUUUAAAUAAGAUGAUAAAUUGCUGACAAAAUGUUAUAAUGAUGAAGGUGGGAGCGGGAGAUGUGAGGAAGUCCAAAGAAAAUGUGAAAUUAUGUUAAGACGAAUGUUAUAUUGUUUAUUACAUUUAUUCCUAUUGUAAAAUCCAAUAAAUUGCUUU